rnacentral:rRNA from 1 species
CCUACGGGGGGCAGCAGUGGGGAAUAUUGCACAAUGGGGGAAACCCUGAUGCAGCGACGCCGCGUGUGGGAAGACGGUCCUCGGGAUUGUAAACCACAGUCACCAGGGACGAAGAUGACGGUACCUGGGGAGGAAGCUCCGGCCAACUACGUGCCAGCAGCCGCGGUAAUACGUAGGGAGCGAGCGUUGUCCGGAAUUACUGGGGGUAAAGGGAGCGUAGGGGGGACUGCAUGUUGGUGGUCAAGUCUAGCGGCUAAACCGGUAGCGGCACUCAGAACUGAAGUUCUGGAGUGAAGUAGAGGCAGGCGGAAUUCCUAGUGUAGCGGUGAAAUGCGUAGAUAUUAGGAGGAACACCAGUGGCGAAGGCGGCCUGCUGGGCUUUUACUGACGCUGAGGCUCGAAAGUGUGGGGAGCAAACAGGAUUAGAUACCCCAGUAGUC